AACGAACGCUGGCGGCAUGCCUAACACAUGCAAGUCGAACGAGACCUUCGGGUCUAGUGGCGCACGGGUGCGUAACGCGUGGGAACCUGCCCUUAGGUUCGGAAUAACUCCCCGAAAGGGGUGCUAAUACCGGAUAAUGUCUUCGGACCAAAGAUUUAUCGCCUUUGGAUGGGCCCGCGUUGGAUUAGCUAGUUGGUAGGGUAAAAGCCUACCAAGGCGACGAUCCAUAGCUGGUCUGAGAGGAUGAUCAGCCACACUGGGACUGAGACACGGCCCAGACUCCUACGGGAGGCAGCAGUGGGGAAUAAUGGACAAUGGGCGAAAGCCUGAUCCAGCAAUGCCGCGUGAGUGAUGAAGGCCUUAGGGUUGUAAAGCUCUUUUAACCGGGAUGAUAAUGACAGUACCGGGAGAAUAAGCUCCGGCUAACUCCGUG
rnacentral:rRNA from 1 species